GACGAACGCAGGCGGCGUGCCUAACACAUGCAAGUCGAACGAGUCCAAUCCUUCGGGAUUGAGGCGAGUGGCGGACGGGUGAGUAACACGUGAGCAAUCUAUCCUGUUGCGGGGGACAACGAGGGGAAACCCUCGCUAAUACCGCAUGGUCGAGAGAAGCGAUGCUUCUUUCGGGAAACGUGGCCUCUUUAUAAUGCUACGGUGGCAGGAGGAGCUCGCGGGCUAUCAGCUAGUUGGUGAGGUAACGGCUCACCAAGGCGACGACGGCUACGGGGUCUGAGAGGACGACCCCGCACAUUGGAACUGAGACACGGUCCAGACUCCUACGGGAGGCAGCAGUGGGGAAUAUUGGGCAAUGGCCGAAAGGCUGACCCAGCGACGCCGCGUGUGGGAGGAAGCCCUUCGGGUGUAAACCGACUGUCAGGAGGGACGAAAGAGCUCAUGGUGAAUAAUCAUGGGCAGUGACGGUACCUUCAAAGGAAGCACCGGCUAACUCUGUGCCG
rnacentral:rRNA from 1 species